rnacentral:rRNA from 1 species
GACGAAAGUCUGACGGAGCAACGCCGCGUGAGUGAUGACGGCCUUCGGGUUGUAAAGCUCUGUUAAUCGGGACGAAAGGCCUUCUUGCGAACAGUUAGAAGGAUUGACGGUACCGGAAUAGAAAGCCACGGCUAACUAUGUGCCAGCAGCCGCGGUAAUACGUAGGUGGCAAGCGUUGUCCGGAAUUAUUGGGCGUAAAGCGCGCGCAGGCGGAUCAGUCAGUCUGUCUUAAAAGUUCGGGGCUUAACCCCGUGAUGGGAUGGAAACUGCUGAUCUAGAGUAUCGGAGAGGAAAGUGGAAUUCCUAGUGUAGCGGUGAAAUGCGUAGAUAUUAGGAAGAACACCAGUGGCGAAGGCGACUUUCUGGACGAAAACUGACGCUGAGGCGCGAAAGCCAGGGGAGCGAACGGGAUUAGAUACCCCGGUAGUCCUGGCCGUAAACGAUGGGUACUAGGUGUAGGAGGUAUCGACCCCUUCUGUGCCGGAGUUAACGCAAUAAGUACCCCGCCUGGGGAGUACGACCGCAAGGUUGAAACUCAAAGGAAUUGACGGGGGCCCGCACAAGCGGUGGAGUAUGUGGUUUAAUUCGACGCAACGCGAAGAACCU